rnacentral:tRNA from 1 species
GGGGGUAUGGUGUAGCGGCUAUCAUAGCAGGCUCCAGACCUGCGGACCUGGGUUCAAGUCCCAGUACCCCCA